rnacentral:rRNA from 1 species
UGUGGAAUUUUCCGCAAUGGGCGCAAGCCUGACGGAGCAAUACCGCGUGCGGGAGGAAGGCUUUUGGGUUGUAAACCUCUUUUCUCAAGGAAGAAGCACUGACGGUACUUGAGGAAUCAGCAUCGGCUAACUCCGUGCCAGCAGCCGCGGUAAUACGGAGGAUGCAAGCGUUAUUCGGUAUUAUUGGGCGUAAAGCGUCCGCAGGUGGUGCCUCAAGUCUGCUGUCAAACACCGAAGCUCUACUUCGGGCAGGCAGUGGAUAGUGAAGCACUAGAGUACGGUAGGGGUAGAGGGAAUUUCCAGUGUAGCGGUGAAAUGCGUAGAGAUUGGAAAGAACACCAGUGGCGAAGGCGCUCUACUGGACCGUAACUGACACUCAGGGACGAAAGCUAGGGGAGCGAAAGGGAUUAGAUACCCCCGUAGUCC